rnacentral:tmRNA from 1 species
GGGGAUGACAGGCUUCGACAGGGAGGGCUGAUCAGCGGAUUGCAAGCCGAGGUGCCUCAACCUCGUAAAUCAGGGGCAACCGAUAAGUGCCAACAACACUUACGCUCCGGUUUAUGCGAUGGCCGCGUAAUCGCGGUCAAUAGCUAAGCCCUUGACCGACUCGGUUCGGUCACGUCCAUCCUCGGCUUCGCCCGAGAGUCGGGGAAUGGGCGUCAGGUAAUUCGGGAUGCGGCUCCCGGGACGCCGAUAGCGGGGGCCAAAGAUAAAUCGGCUGGUGAGCUGUGGCUCCUGUUGGCCCGGCCUAGGCUCACGAGAAACAAACGGACCAACUAAGCUUGUAGUAGAUCCCUGAUCGAACUUUCUGGACGCGGGUUCGAUUCCCGCCAUCUCCACCU